AUGAGAAAAGUGAGGCGAAGAGAUUCCAUGACAAAGCCUGCAACCAAAGUUAAGAAGGGGAGCAAUCAGGAUGAGGAAGACAAGCUGUACGAGACUACUGGCUACAGGGCUGAGUAA
rnacentral:lncRNA from 1 species